rnacentral:sRNA from 1 species
ACUUUUCUCCUCUUGAAACCCCGACAAUCAUCAUGCUGUACGAUAAAAAAGAAUAAUUCUACAGAUAAAAAAGGGAAACAGAAACAAUGGAUUGAAAUGAGGCAAUGAAAAGAUCUUCUGUAUUGGAGAAGAUGACAAUGCAAAGUUGUGCUAUUAGCCGAGUAAGAACAGAAUAGGACCCACACGGGUUACUGAGUAACAUCCAGAUGUAAAUACCCAGUGACAUUAUUUAUAAAAAUGUACUACAAGGAGGAGGUAAAAGGAGGUUACCCAGAGAUGAACAAAAUAGAAGCCCCCAAUUGUGAAACAAUAAAAUUAAUAUCUGAGAAGAAAAUUAAUUCAAAGAUGAUAGAGAAGAUUUUUUUUGUAUAAACUUUUCUGUUAUCGAUUUUCGUCCACUGAAUACUUCGUGUUAACCAAACCUAUUUUAAUUUAUUCUGUAUUUGAUUAAAUAAACACCAGCAGAGCGAAGAAAUGCGACAAAAG